GUCUCUUUCUGUCGUGGUGCCGCUGCUGUUUGUUGAUAAUGUGCGCCGUAAAACGACGCAGUUUCUUCCAGGCAGACAGGUAGAACAGGCGCGGGAAAUUUGAAGUUCAGUCCAGGCGAUUGUAGGCACAGUCUUGGGUCAAGGCACCACAGGAAGUUUCCGAAGUCAGCGCCUGCAUUGAAAACAGGAAC
rnacentral:lncRNA from 1 species